GAUGAACGCUGGCGGCGUUCCUAAUACAUGCAAGUCGAGCGAACAGACGAGUAGCUUGCUCCUCUGACGUUAACGGCGGACGGGUGAGUAACACGUGGACAACCUACCUAUAAGACUGGGAUAACUUCGGGACACCGGCGCUAAUACCGGAUAAUAUCUUGAACCGCAUGGUUCAAUAGUGAAAGACGGUUUUGCUGUCACUUAUAGAUGGAUCCGCGCUGCAUUAGCUAGUUGGUAAGGUAACGGCUUACCAAGGCAACGAUGCGUAGCCGACCUGAGAGGGGCAUCGCCAACUCUGGAUGUGAGAAGUGCACCAGACCCCUACGAGAGGCAGCAGUAGGGAAUCUUCCGCAAUGGGGGGAAGCCUGGCAGAGCAGCGCCGCGUGAGUGAUGUAGGCCGUCGGUGCGUAAUGCUCAGGUGGUAGGGAAGAACAUAUUUGUAAGUAUCUAUGUUCGUCUAGUCAGUAUGUAUGCAGGUAGUCGCGGGUAACUACGUGU
rnacentral:rRNA from 1 species